rnacentral:rRNA from 1 species
GAUGAACGCUGACAGAAUGCUUAACACAUGCAAGUCAACUUGAAUUUGGGUUUUUAACUUAGGUUUGGGUGGCGGACGGGUGAGUAACGCGUAAAGAACUUGCCUCACAGCUAGGGACAACAUUUGGAAACGAAUGCUAAUACCUAAUAUUAUGAUAAUAGGGCAUCCUAUAAUUAUGAAAGCUAUAAGCGCUGUGAGAGAGCUUUGCGUCCCAUUAGCUAGUUGGAGAGGUAACGGCUCACCAAGGAGAUGAUGGGUAGCCGGCCUGAGAGGGUGAUCGGCCACAAGGGGACUGAGACACGGCCCUUACUCCUACGGGAGGCAGCAGUGGGGAAUAUUGGACAAUGGACCGAGAGUCUGAUCCAGCAAUUCUGUGUGCACGAUGAAGUUUUUCGGAAUGUAAAGUGCUUUCAGUUGGGAAGAAACAAAUGACGGUACCAACAGAAGAAGUGACGGCUAAAUACGUG